rnacentral:rRNA from 1 species
UACGUAGGGUGCAAGCGUUGUCCGGAAUUAUUGGGCGUAAAGAGCUCGUAGGCGGUUCGUCGCGUCGGCUGUGAAAUCCCGAGGCUCAACCUCGGGUCUGCAGUCGAUACGGGCGGACUGGAGUACUGCAGGGGAGACUGGAAUUCCUGGUGUAGCGGUGAAAUGCGCAGAUAUCAGGAGGAACACCGGUGGCGAAGGCGGGUCUCUGGGCAGUAACUGACGCUGAGACGCGAAAGCGUGGGGAGCAAACAGG